rnacentral:rRNA from 1 species
UACGAGAGCCUCGAGCGUUAUCCGGAAUUAUUGGGCGUAAAGGGUGUGUAGGUUGUUCUAUUAGUCUUUUGUCAAAACCUGGGGCUUAACUUCAGGAUCGCGAAAGAAACGGUAGAACUUGAAAGUGCGAGAGGUAUACGGAACUCAUGGUGUAAGGGUAAAAUCUGUUGAUAUCAUGGGGAACACCAAAAAGCGAAAGCAGUAUACUGGCGCAUAUUUGACACUGAAACACGAAAGCGUGGGUCGCGAAUGGG